rnacentral:rRNA from 1 species
UGAGGAAUAUUGGUCAAUGGACGAGAGUCUGAACCAGCCAAGUCGCGUGAAGGAUGAAGGUCUUAUGGAUUGUAAACUUCUUUUAUACGGGAAUAAAAAAUACCACGUGUGGUAUAUUGCAUGUACCGUAUGAAUAAGGAUCGGCUAACUCCGUGCCAGCAGCCGCGGUAAUACGGAGGAUCCAAGCGUUAUCCGGAUUUAUUGGGUUUAAAGGGUGCGUAGGCGGUCAUUUAAGUCAGCGUUGAAAGUUUUCGGCUCAACCGGAAAAUUGGCAUUGAAACUGGAUGACUUGAGUGUAAAUGAAGUGGGCGGAAUUCGUCGUGUAGCGGUGAAAUGCAUAGAUAUGACGAAGAACUCCAAUUGCGAAGGCAGCUCACUAACAUACAACUGACGCUGAUGCACGAAAGCGUGGGGAUCAAACA